GACGAACGCUGGCGGCGCGCUUAAUACAUGCAAGUCGAGCGAGAACCAGGGCUUCGGCCCUGGGGACAGCGGCGAACGGGUGAGUAACACGCGGGUAAUCAACCCCCGACACCGGGAUAGCCCAGGGAAACUUGGAUUAAUACCGGAUGCCCCGUCUGGCCUUCGGGCCGGCCGGAAAAGGGUAGCUCAGGCCUCUGGUCGGGGACGAGCCCGCGGGGGAGUAGCUUGUUGGUGAGGUAAAGGCUCACCAAGGCGACGAUCCGUAGCUGGUCUGAGAGGACGAUCAGCCACACUGGGACUGAGACACGGCCCAGACUCCUACGGGAGGCAGCAGUAGGGAAUCUUGCGCAAUGGGCGAAAGCCUGACGCAGCGACGCCGCGUGAGGGAAGAAGGCCUUCGGGUUGUAAACCUCUUUCAGGAGGGACGAAGCCACUCGGGUUAAUAGCCUAGAGGGUGACGGUACCUCCAGAAGAAGCCCCGGCUAACUACGUGCCAGCAGCCGCGGUAACAC
rnacentral:rRNA from 1 species